UGUCCUCUUGCGAGCAUCUUCGUAUCCUGAGGCUUGGUGUCUGGUGAUAUCGCCACAUCCCAUCGCUACUCGAGCUGGACUACUGUGGACUCUUAUCAGUGCAGAGACUCGGCCUCUGACACCUUAAGACGCAGUCUAGAGACAAAGAACAAGGAAACAUCAAAGGUUAUGCGGAU
rnacentral:lncRNA from 14 species